rnacentral:rRNA from 1 species
AACGAACGCUGGCGGCAUGCCUAACACAUGCAAGUCGAACGAGACCUUCGGGUCUAGUGGCGCACGGGUGCGUAACGCGUGGGAACCUGCCCUUAGGUUCGGAAUAACUCCCCGAAAGGGGUGCUAAUACCGGAUAAUGUCUUCGGACCAAAGAUUUAUCGCCUUUGGAUGGGCCCGCGUUGGAUUAGCUAGUUGGUAGGGUAAAAGCCUACCAAGGCGACGAUCCAUAGCUGGUCUGAGAGGAUGAUCAGCCACACUGGGACUGAGACACGGCCCAGACGGGUAGGGGAGGCGGGAGGGGGGAAGAUUGGACGAUGGGCGAAAGCCUGAUCCAGCAAUGCCGCGUGAGUGAUGAAGGCCUUAGGGUUGUAAAGCUCUUUUACCCGGGAUGAUAAUGACAGUACCGGGAGAAUAAGCUCCGGCUAACUCCGU